ACGAACGCUGGCGGCGUGCUUAACACAUGCAAGUCGAGCGGUAAGGCCCUUCGGGGUACACGAGCGGCGAACGGGUGAGUAACACGUGGGUGAUCUGCCCUGCACUCUGGGAUAAGCUUGGGAAACUGGGUCUAAUACCGGAUAUGACCACAUGCCGCAUGGUGUGUGGUGGAAAGAUUUAUCGGUGCAGGAUGGGCCCGCGGCCUAUCAGCUUGUUGGUGGGGUAAUGGCCUACCAAGGCGACGACGGGUAGCCGACCUGAGAGGGUGACCGGCCACACUGGGACUGAGACACGGCCCAGACUCCUACGGGAGGCAGCAGUGGGGAAUAUUGCACAAUGGGCGGAAGCCUGAUGCAGCGACGCCGCGUGAGGGAUGAAGGCCUUCGGGUUGUAAACCUCUUUCAGCAGGGACGAAGCGUGAGUGACGGUACCUGCAGAAGAAGCACCGGCUAACUACGUGCCAGCMGCCGCGGUAA
rnacentral:rRNA from 1 species